UACGAAGGGGGCUAGCGUUGUUCGGAUUUACUGGGCGUAAAGCGCACGUAGGCGGAUUGGUCAGUUAGGGGGUGAAAUCCUGGAGCUCAACUCCAGAACUGCCUUUAAUACUGCCAAUCUCGAGUCCGGAAGAGGUAAGUGGAACUCCUAGUGUAGAGGUGGAAUUCGUAGAUAUUAGGAAGAACACCAGUGGCGAAGGCGGCUUACUGGUCCGGUACUGACGCUGAGGUGCGAAAGCGUGGGGAGCAAACAGG
rnacentral:rRNA from 1 species